rnacentral:rRNA from 1 species
UACGUAGGGUGCGAGCGUUGUCCGGAAUUAUUGGGCGUAAAGAGCUUGUAGGCGGUCUGUCGCGUCUGCUGUGAAAAUCCGGGGCUCAACCCCGGACUUGCAGUGGGUACGGGCAGACUAGAGUGUGGUAGGGGAGACUGGAAUUCCUGGUGUAGCGGUGAAAUGCGUAGAUAUCUGGAGGAACACCGAUGGCGAAGGCAGGUCUCUGGGCCACUACUGACGCUGAGAAGCGAAAGCAUGGGGAGCGAACAGG